rnacentral:piRNA from 1 species
UAUCUUCGUUUUGGCAAUAAC